rnacentral:rRNA from 1 species
AUUGAACGCUGGCGGCAGGCCUAACACAUGCAAGUCGAACGGUAACAGGAAGACGCUUGCUUCUUUGCUGCCGAGUGGCGGACGGGUGGGUAAUGUCUGGGAAACUGCCUGAUGGAGGGGGAUAACUACUGGAAACGGUAGCUAAUACCGCAUAACGUCGCAAGACCAAAGAGGGGGACCUUCGGGCCUCUUGCCAUCGGAUGUGCCCAGAUGGGAUUAGCUAGUAGGUGGGGUAACGGCUCACCUAGGCGACGAUCCCUAGCUGGUCUGAGAGGAUGACCAGCCACACUGGAACUGAGACACGGUCCAGACUCCUACGGGAGGCAGCAGUGGGGAAUAUUGCACAAUGGGCGCAAGCCUGAUGCAGCCAUGCCGCGUGUAUGAAGAAGGCCUUCGGGUUGUAAAGUACUUUCAGCGGGGAGGAAGGGAGUAAAGUUAAUACCUUUACUCAUUGACGUUACCCGCAGAAGAAGCACCGGCUAACUCCGUG